GACACGUGGGUAAUUUGCCGCGAAGUUGGGGAUAACUCGUUGAAAGACGAGCUAAUACCGAAUGUGAUCCGUUGAAGGCAUCUUCGAUUGAUCAAAGCUGGGGACCGUAAGGCCUGGCGCUUCGCGAUAAGCCCGCGGCCUAUCAGCUAGUUGGUGAGGUAACGGCUCACCAAGGCUAAGACGGGUAGCUGGUCUGAGAGGACGACCAGUCACACUGGAACUGAGACACGGUCCAGACACCUACGGGUGGCAGCAGUCGAGAAUUUUUCUCAAUGGACGAAAGUCUGAAGGAGCGACGCCGCGUGGGGGAUGAAGGGCUUCGGUCCGUAAACCCCUGUCAUUUGCGAACAAACCUUACUAUUGAACAUUUAGUGAGCUGAUUUAGCGAAAGAGGAAGGGACGGCUAAC
rnacentral:rRNA from 1 species